ACACACCACACACGCUAAGUGUGUGGAUCGAUCUCCAGGAGCGACCAGGAGGGUGAAAACCCUAGAACUCAACAAAUCUUGCAAAUUGAAGGUUCAAUUCAAGUCCAAAUCGAAUUCUAAACAUAGAUUCCUGAUCCUCAUCACAAGGGGAUUACAAGUUUGACGCGUAACAAGCUAGGUGGAAGCUUGAUGAGGGAGCGGAUCAAACAAAUCAAGAAGGAAAGGAAAAGCAUAGUUCGGAUGCGAGAAAUAAAUAUCGAGUGGAUAUUUACAUCGCUAUAGAUAUUGAGGCAAGGUACUUAAAAGGGUCAAUGUAAUGAUCCGAGCCAGGUACGCAUAAUAAGAUAACUCUCAUUUAAAUGUAAGGCUAAUGAGAGUUAAACGAAGUCUAAAAUAAGUUUUUGGUUACCUUAAUAGGUAAACCAAAUGUUACGGACGAUGCUCAUUAUAUUUGUUAUAGGUUUCUAACCAUUACCAAGAGUUUAAUAAGGGUUUUAGCCAUGGAAAUGGGUUGCAUUUGAUGGUUUGGUUCGAAUUUAAAAUGACCCUAAACAUGAUUUCCGCAGCUUUUUAUACGGAUUUCGACAAAUGUUAAAAAAAUCAUAUAAAAUCAACCGUUUAUCCGAUUUGGGUGUUCUAUACCUUUUCGGAAAGCUUAUGAAGUAAAUUUUUACUGUUUUCAAUCAUAAGAAACAAAUGUGGUUGUUAAAUAGGCCAAAAGAAUGAAUUAAACAGCUGUUCAAAACCUUGAAAGCUGUUUGAAAAAUGAAAAUAUAGUUGUUGUGCUGAUUUUAUAAAAAUCAUAUAAAAUCAUAGAAAAUUCGUUAGAAGGUGUACCUUAUAUGCUUGCGAAGGUAUUGAAGUUUUCUACGAUCCAUCUUUGAACAUGUUAAUCUAGUUCGGACUUUGAAUGGGUCAUAAUGGUCAAUUACAGCAGCUGUAUAAAAAAUCGCUGCACAUUAAUAAUGUCAUUAUUAAUCCAGAAAAAGAUAUAUGAUUGCGUAUACUUGAUUUAGUCAUGCCACCGUAAGUUACGGUGGAGCUGAUAUGAUUACGAUGGUUACAUACUGAGUUAUGGUGGAAGGAUAGACUUUCAGGGGCUACCGUAACUUACGGUGUCACCGUAAGUUACGGUGGACCUACAAACAAAGUAUGUUUUAUUUAGUUUAAAUUCCCGGAUUCGUUUAGACACGUUUUAAACCCCGUAUGACUAAAGUAUUUCAUGUUUAUGGAAUAUAGGUACUUUUGGAUGCCGGAAGACGAUCAAGCUCAGUGAAGAACCGAACACGAUAAAGAUACACGCUUCCGCACUUUGCCACGUUGUAAAUUUUAAACAACGAAUUCGAUCACGUUAUGUAGAAUAACUUAUGAUUUGUAAAACUUUUAGUAAACCCGUAUUUCCGAUGUAUAUGUAAUCGUAAUUACAUGAUUGUUUUCGUAAAAGAUUCAUUAAACCUUAAA